rnacentral:rRNA from 1 species
GACGAACGCUGGCGGCGUGCUUAACACAUGCAAGUCGAACGGUGAAGGGGUCUGCUUUUGUGGGCCCUGGAUGAGUGGCGAACGGGUGAGUAACACGUGAGUAACCUGCCCCCUUCUUCUGGAUAACCGCAUGAAGGUGUGGCUAAUACGGGAUAUUCUGGGUCUGUCGCAUGAUGGGUCUGGGAAAGAUUGCGCCUUUGGGUGUUUUUGGUGGGGGAUGGGCUCGCGGCCUAUCAGCUUGUUGGUGGGGUGAUGGCCUACCAAGGCGGUGACGGGUAGCCGGCCUGAGAGGGUGGACGGUCACACUGGGACUGAGACACGGCCCAGACUCCUACGGGAGGCAGCAGUGGGGAAUAUUGCACAAUGGGCGCAAGCCUGAUGCAGCGACGCCGCGUGAGGGAUGGAGGCCUUCGGGUUGUAAACCUCUUUCGCCAGUGAAGCAGGCCUGCUCCUUGUGGGUGGGUUGACGGUAGCUGGAGAAGAAGCGCCGGCUAACUACGUG